rnacentral:rRNA from 1 species
GACGAACGCUGGCGGCGUGCUUAACACAUGCAAGUCGAACGGAGCUAGAUAGCUUGCUAUCGAUGCUUAGUGGCAAACGGGUGAGUAACGCGUAGGCAACCUGCCCCCCAGAUGGGGACAACAUCCCGAAAGGGGUGCUAAUACCGAAUGAAGUAUCCAUUCCGCAUGGGAAGGAUACCAAAGGCUGGGCAACCGGUCACUGGGGGAUGGGCCUGCGUCUGAUUAGCUUGUUGGUGAGGUAACGGCUCACCAAGGCAACGAUCAGUAGGGGUUCUGAGAGGAAGGUCCCCCACAUUGGAACUGAGACACGGUCCAAAACUCCUACGGGAGCAGCAGUGAGGAAUAUUGGGUCAAUGGGCGAGAGCCUGAACCAGCCAAGUAGCGUGCAGGAAGACGGCCCUAUGGGUUGUAAACUGCUUUUAUAGGGGAACAAAGUGAGCCACGUGUGGUUUUUUGCAUGUACCCUAUGAAUAAGGACCGGCUAAUUCCGUG